UUAUGUGGCUGAGUGGUUUAAAGUAAUCCUCUUGAAAAGGAUCGUGCAUUAAAAAAGCACCGUGGGUUCGAAUCCCACCAUAA
rnacentral:tRNA from 1 species